GGCGCUAUAGCCAAGUGGUUACGGCGACAGAUUUGAACUCUCAAUAUCUGUUCCUCUUUGAGGGCGCAGGUUCGAACCCUGCUGGCGUCG
rnacentral:tRNA from 1 species